AAAAUCUCCCCAGAUGCUCACUGCUCUGAUCAUUUCCCCUACAGCACCAGACAUGUUGGCAUCAUCUCUUAGUUGGGCCAUGUGGCCAGGGAACCCUUCAUGAAACCACCUCUGCAGUCCUGGAGAGUUGCUGUAGAAGAAGGAAAAGAGAGGAAGACAACACAACACAGGAGGGGAUAAGUACCUCUGGACACAAUGGAAGUAGUAGUUGUUGAGCAGAGGGAAAGGGAUAGGAGAAGGAUGUGGACUGCAGUGCUGCAGUGCCAGAGCCCCAGCAGCUACUAUUAAUGAGUGUCUGGAAUAUGUUCCUGGCAUUUCACCUACCCUCUCUCCAAUCCUUCCAAGAAACUCACAAAGCAGGGCUUUUUCUUGAACUUCUCUUCCUCACAACAGUUAAAUCAUCCAUUUAAAGAUGUCAAACAACCUCCGUGUUCUAAGAACUAUUUACUGAGCUCUACGGAGACACAGCUACAAGCACCACAUGCUGGACCCCUGAAUAUGGAGGGCCAACUACACUAGAAACACACACGCUAGCUGAGAAAGAUGGUGGCUUAAGGAGAUCACCAGUUUGUAGUAGAGGCCCACUCUCGGAAGGUUUGGUAAAAAGUUGUUUUGAAUCAUAAUGUUGGCUUUAUUGGCAUGUUGAAACCAUUUACCUCUGUAAUUUUCCAUUUGUUUUCCUUUCCAACUACCACUCCUCCUGCCUGAUAAAUAAAUACCAUUGCAAGAUUA
rnacentral:lncRNA from 10 species